rnacentral:rRNA from 1 species
UACGUAGGGGGCAAGCGUUGUCCGGAUUUAUUGGGCGUAAAGAGCGUGUAGGCGGUUCGGUAGGUCCGUUGUGAAAACUCGAGCUCAACCUCGAGACGCCGAUGGAAACCCCCGAACUAGAGUCCGGAAGAGGAGAGUGGAACUCCUAGUGUAGAGGUGGAAUUCGUAGAUAUUAGGAAGAACACCAGUGGCGAAGGCGGCUCACUGGUCCGGUACUGGACGCUGGAGGUGCGAAAGCGUGGGGAG